GACGAACGCUGGCGGCGUGCUUAACACAUGCAAGUCGAACGGAAAGGCCCUGCUUUUGUUGUGUGCUCGAGUGGCGAACGGGUGAGUAACACGUGAGUAACCUGCCCUUGACUUUGGGAUAACUUCAGGAAACUGGGGCUAAUACCUGAUAGGAGCUCCUGCUGCAUGGUGUGGGUUGGAAAUUUUCGGCGGUUGGGGUUGGACUCGCGGCUUAUCUGCUUGUUGGUGGGGUAGUGGCUUACCAAGGCUUUGACGGGUAGCCGGCCUGUGAGGGUGACCGGCGAAAUUGGGACUGAGAGAAGGCCCAGAAUCCAACGGGAGGCAGCAGUGGGGAAUAUUGCAAAAUGGGCGGAAGCCUGAUGAAGAAAAGCAGCGUGCGGGAUGACGGCCUUCGGGUUGUAAACAGAUGUCGCAUGUGAAGAAGAGUGAGUGACGGUAAUGGGUAAAGAAGCACCGGCUAACUACGUG
rnacentral:rRNA from 1 species